GAUGAACGCUGGCGGCGUGCCUAAUACAUGCAAGUAGAACGCUGAAGCUUGGUGCUUGCACCGAGCGGAUGAGUUGCGAACGGGUGAGUAACGCGUAGGUAACCUGCCUGGUAGCGGGGGAUAACUAUUGGAAACGAUAGCUAAUACCGCAUGACAACAGUUAUUGCAUGAUAACUGUUUAAAAGGGGCAAUUGCUCCACUACCAGAUGGACCUGCGUUGUAUUAGCUAGUUGGUGAGGUAACGGCUCACCAAGGCGACGAUACAUAGCCGACCUGAGAGGGGGGUCGGCCACACUGGGACUGAGACACGGCCCAGACUCCUACGGGAGGCAGCAGUAGGGAAUCUUCGGCAAUGGACGGAAGUCUGACCGAGCAACGCCGCGUGAGUGAAGAAGGUUUUCGGAUCGUAAAGCUCUGUUGUAAGAGAAGAACGAGUGUGAGAGUGGAAAGUUCACACUGUGACGGUAUCUUACCAGAAAGGGACGGCUAACUACGUG
rnacentral:rRNA from 1 species